rnacentral:rRNA from 1 species
UACGGAGGGGGCUAGCGUUGUUCGGAAUUACUGGGCGUAAAGCGCGCGUAGGCGGACCUGCAAGUCGGGGGUGAAAGCCCGAGGCUCAACCUCGGAACUGCCUUCGAUACUGCGGGUCUCGAGUCCGGGAGAGGUGAGUGGAAUUCCUAGUGUAGAGGUGAAAUUCGUAGAUAUUAGGAAGAACCCCAGUGGCGAAGGCGGCUCACUGGGCCGGUACUGACGCUGAGUGAGCGAAAGCCAGGGGAGCAAACGGG